rnacentral:rRNA from 1 species
GCACGCUAAUACAUGCAAGUCGAACGAAGUAGCAAUACUUAGUGGCAGACGGGUGAGUAACAUGUAGGUAUCUUCCCUUUGGUGAGGAAUAACACGAGGAAACUUGUGCUAAUACCUCAUAAGUCUUUACGGAGAAAGCUUUAUGCGCCAAUGGAUGAGCCUGCACUUGAUUAGUUUGUUGGUGGGGUAAUGGCCUACCAAGACAAUGAUCAAUAGCUGAUUUGAGAGGAUGAUCAGCCACAUUGGGACUGAGACACGGCCCAAACUCCUACGGGAGGCAGCAGUAGGGAAUCUUGCACAAUGGGGGAAACCCUGAUGCAGCGAUGCCGCGUGAGUGAAGAAGGCCUUUGGGUUGUAAAGCUCUUUCGUCGGGGAAGAAAAUGACUGUACCCGAAUAAGAAGGUCCGGCUAACUUCGUGCCAGCAGCCGCGGUAAUACGAAGGGACCUAGCGUAGUUCGGAAUUACUGGGCUUAAAGAGUUCGUAGGUGGUUAAAAAAGUUGGUGGUGAAAUCCCAGAGCUUAACUCUGGAACUGCCAUCAAAACUUUUUAGCUAGAGUAUGAUAGAGGAAAGCAGAAUUUCUAGUGUAGAGGUGAAAUUCGUAGAUAUUAGAAAGAAUACCAAUUGCGAAGGCAGCUUUCUGGAUCAUUACUGACGCUGAGGAACGAAAGCAUGGGUAGCGAAGAGGAUUAGAUACCCUCGUAGUCCAUGCCGUAAACGAUGUGUGUUAGACGUUGGAAAUUUAUUUUCAGUGUCGCAGCGAAAGCAAUAAACACACCGCCUGGGGAGUACGACCGCAAGGUUAAAACUCAAAUGAAUUGACGGGGACCCGCACAAGUAGUGGAGCAUGUGGUUUAAUUCGAAGAUACGCGCAGAACCUUA